UGCUCCAGUGGCCUAAUGGAUAUGGCUUUGGACUUCUAAUCCAAAGGUUGCGGGUUCGAGUCCCGCCGGAGGUAG
rnacentral:tRNA from 1 species